GUCUUCAUGUGUCGUAUAGGUCCGGUUCCUCUCGGGCCAAGGUACUCCAGGGUAUGGGUGGAAUGGCAGGCGCAGGAGUCAGAGGUGGGUGUAUUUGCGGGUUCGCUCAUUUCAAGGUCUGUUGUGACUGCUGGAGCAUUGGGUCUCGGCGGAUAUGUCGCCCUCCGGGGUGUCCUUGCGCAUGUCCAGUUUAGUUUUCUGGUUAAGUCCCAGGGUUGGGUGGUGGUCACCACGGAGUUUCU